UACAGAGGUCUCAAGCGUUGUUCGGAUUCAUUGGGCGUAAAGGGUGCGUAGGUGGUGGCGCAAGUCUGGUGUGAAAUUUCGGAGCUUAACUCCGAAACUGCAUUCGAUACUGCCGUGCUUGAGGACUGGAGAGGAGACUGGAAUUUACGGUGUAGCGGUGAAAUGCGUAGAUAUCGUAAGGAAGACCAGUGGCGAAGGCGGGUCUCUGGACAGUUCCUGACGCUGAGGCACGAAGGUCAGGGGAGCAACGGG
rnacentral:rRNA from 1 species